GCCUUUUCCACAUGAUUUUUUUUUAAUAUUGUCUGCCUCUGCCAGGUGACCUGAACGACCUGAACGAGGUGAACAAGGAUAAGCCCGCCACUUACCCUCGGUGACCUGAACACGGCGAAUAAGGAUAAGCCCACCACAAGAGGCCACCUCCUUCAGCUUCAGCUCCCUUACUCAACCGCCACCAGAGAGAUGGUAUGUAUGAAAGUGGUCAGACUGUGUGUGUCCUGAUCCUAUUAACGGGUAUCUUCCAAUAAGUAUUGUCAAUAAGCUAGUGAAUUUAGUUUAUAGUUUAGUGUAGGCGAUACACGCCCCUCCUGCCUCUCCCCAGGACUACCAGGGGGGACUUGGCCUUAGUGCUGCAAAAUAUACGGUGUAUUGCUAGAACUCCAAUUACGCCUCCUGCCUUGCUUGCACUAAACCUGUGUCCUAAUAUCUGUUCAAAUAUAGCCGCAGGUGUCUCUGUGAAAGAGCCCGAGCUAUAGGCUGACGAGUCAUGAAUACUGCCUUAACAACCUACUUUUAGGGAAGAAAAGCACGCCAUCUUGAAUGGUUGCUUUUGUUAUUAUGUGAGUAAAGUUUUUAUUUAUUUUAUUUUUUAUUUGUCUUUUCCCUCCCCUUUUCCCUUGUAUAGUGUAGUGUAUAUUCAGUGUACAUUAAACAGAAGGAUAUCAUGCUACUGUGAUCUUGUCUUUUAUUUCUGAAUGUGUUUGAGUUCCCCAUUUUAUUUCCACUGUUCAGUGACAGACACAGAGACUGCAUGCUUUUAAAUAAUACACAGGUAACAGACAUUAGACCUCGACAUACUUUAAUAGUCCACAAGCAAAUUACUUACAGUAGCUUUGUUGCACAUACAAGUAAACCCUUGUAAAACCACAAAAAGAGACAAUUACGGAGCUUCAUAGAGAGCCAUGGCCACCUGGUCACCUAAUAUCUAGUCUUUAUGUUGAGCCAAGCUGACUGAAAAAAGUCCCACAUGCUUAUCUAGUUACUGCAUUUUCCACGUGUAACAGGCCAGGCCAUGUUUAAACAACGAAGCAAAUCAGUGUGGAAUCAGUGACAAGGUGAACAAAGAUAAGCCCAACACAUGCACUGCAGAGUCACCUCAUUAUGGGACCAAAACAGAGAGAGGUUUAGAAUUUACAGAGCCCCAUCUGCAGUGAAAUCGUGAAGAUUCCUAUUGAUGAGAGUGGUGUAGGGGACAAAACUUACAGAACGACCUGGACAAGGCGAACAAAGAUAAGCCCAACACAUGCCCUGCAGAGUCACCUCAUUAUGGGACCAAAACAGAGAGAGGUUUAGGAUAAACAGAGCCCCAUCUGCAUUGAAAUUGUGAAGAUUCCUAUUGAUGAGAGUGGUGUAGGGGACAAAACUUACAGAACAACCUGGACAAGGCCAAUAAGGAUAAGCCCAACACAUGCCCUGCAGAGUCACCUCAUUAUGGGACCACAACAGAGAGAGGUUUAGAAUUUACAGAGCCCCAUCUGCAGUGAAAUCGUGAAGAUUCCUAUUGAUGAAAGUGGUGUAGGGACCAGGGCCUAGGCCAUGAAUAAACAACCGAGCAAAUGGGUGGAAUUGCUGUGGAAUCAAUGCUCACUGCACCCUCUCUGAGACAGCAGACAUACAUACAAAGACAUUGGUGGACUGGUGGAGGUGGACAGGGGAGCUCCCAAAACAGAGAGAGGUUUAGAAUUUACAGAGCCCCAUCUGCAGUGAAAUCGUGAAGAUUCCUAUUGAUGAGAGUGGUGUAGGGGACAAAACUUA